rnacentral:misc_RNA from 1 species
GGAAACUUGCUACUUCGAGUGGCAAAAUUUAAUUGCUGAAGCUUCAAGACAAGGCUAUAAGGGUGAGGAAGAACUGCAGUGGGACUCCUACCAAAUCCUUAAUGAAGAACUUAAAAAGGAGUGGCUAGAGAGUGUUGAGCAACGAAAAAAAAUGCCAAGGACAGUUGGAAGCAGGAGAGCACCAAAGUCAGCUGAGCAGAGGAAGAAGAUAUCGGAAUCCAUCUCUGCAAAAUGGGCUGAUCCUUUGUCAAGAAGAUAUUUGGACUUAAGUCUAGGCC